UUUGAGAUGGAGUCUCACCCCGUCGCCCAGGCUGGAGUGCAAUGGCGUGAUCUUGGCUCACUGCAACCUCUGCCUCCCGAGUUCAAGCGACUCUCCAGCCUCAGCCUCACAAGUAGCUUGGAUUACAGGUUUGGUCAAGACCAUGCCAGGUCAAACCUUAUUUGGAAUUUCAAAACACGAGAAGAACUGAAAGAUACUCUUGAAUCUGAAAUGAGAGCAUUUAAUAUUGACAGAGAACUUGGAAGUGCAAAUGUGAUCUCCUGGAACCACCAUGAGUUUGAGGUUAAAUAUGAGUGCCUGGCAGAGGAAAUUAAAAUAGGAGACUAUUACCUGAGAUUACUAUUGGAGGAAGAUGAGAAUGAAGAAAGUGGAUCAAUUAAGAGAUCGUAUGAAUUUUUCAAUGAGCUUUAUCAUCGCUUCUUGCUCACCCCAAAAGUAAACAUGAAGUGUUUAUGUUUACAAGCCCUUGCUAUUGUUUAUGGCAGAUGUCACGAAGAAAUAGGACCUUUUACAGAUACCAGAUAUAUCAUUGGAAUGUUAGAGAGGUGCACAGAUAAACUUGAACGAGAUAGGUUGAUUCUCUUCCUUAACAAGUUGAUCCUUAAUAAGAAAAAUGUUAAGGAUCUCAUGGAUUCAAAUGGAAUAAGAAUCCUUGUGGACUUGCUUACCCUUGCACAUCUCCAUGUAAGCCGAGCUACAGUACCACUGCAAAGCAAUGUAAUUGAAGCUGCUCCAGAUAUGAAAAGAGAGAGUGAAAAGGAAUGGUAUUUUGGCA
rnacentral:sRNA from 1 species